rnacentral:rRNA from 1 species
GCAAGAGCGCAUGGGGAAUGCCUAGGCUCUCAGAGGCGAAGAAGGACGUGAUAAGCUGCGAUAAGCAGUGGGGAGGAGCAAAUAUCCAUUGAUCCGCUGAUUUCCGAAUGGGGCAACCCACUUAGUUGAAGACUAAGUAUCCAGAGAUGGAAGCAAACGCAGGGAACUGAAACAUCUUAGUACCUGCAGGAGAAGAAAACAAUAGUGAUUUUGUGAGUAGUGGCGAGCGAAAGCGAAAUAGCCUAAACUGAUCAUGUUUCGGCAUGGUCAGGGUUGUAGGACCACGACAUUUGGUAUAGAAAAGAAGUAGAACGAUCUGGAAAGAUCGGCCAUAGACGGUGACAGCCCGGUACACGUAAUGUUCUAUAUUGAUAGUGGUAUCCUGAGUAGGGCGGGACACGAGAAAUCCUGUCUGAAUCUGCCGGGACCAUCCGGUAAGGCUAAAUACUCCUGAGAGACCGAUAGUGAACUAGUACUGUGAAGGAAAGGUGAAAAGGACUUCGAACAGAAGAGUGAAAUAGAACCUGAAACCAUGCGCUUACAAGCGGUCGGAGCCAAGAGAUUGGUGACGGCGUGCCUUUUGCAUAAUGAGCCUACGAGUUGCUCCUCAUUGGCAAGGUUAAGUACCUCAGGUACGCAGCCGAAGCGAAAGCGAGUCUGAAAAGGGCGCUAAGUCAGUGGGGGCAGACGCGAAACUUUGUGAUCUACCCAUGACCAGGUUGAAGUCGUGUUAACCCAUGAUGGAGGACCGAACCAGUAAACGUUGAAAAGUUUUUGGAUGAGUUGUGGGUAGGGGUGAAAGGCUAAUCAAACUGAGAAAUAGCUCGUACUCCCCGAAAUGCAUUUAGGUGCAGCCUUGUGGAGAGUAUCGCAGAGGUAAAGCUACUGAUAGGGCAAGAGGGCUUCAUCGCCUAUCAACCCCUGAUAAACUCUGAAUGCUGCGAUAUAUACACAGGAGUGAGCCGUUGGGUGCUAAGAUCCAGCGACGAGAGGGAAAGAACCCGGACCAUCGGCUAAGGUCCCCAAAUAUAUGCUAAGUUGAAUGAACGAGGUGCGAUUGCAGUGACAGCUAGGAUGUUGGCUUGGAAGCAGCCAUACAUUUAAAGAGUGCGUAACAGCUCACUAGUCGAGCGAUUGUGCGUGGAUAAUAAUCGGGCAUCAAGCAUAUUACCGAAGCCGUGGAAUUAUUUAUAAUUGGUAGGGGAGCAUUCCAGGGGCAGCGAAGGAAGUCUGAGAGGACUUCUGGAGUGCCUGGAAAAGCAAAUGUAGGCAUAAGUAACGAUAAUGAGGGUGGGAAACCCUCACGCCGAUAGACUAAGGGUUCCUGAUCAACGAUAAUCGGAUCAGGGUUAGUCGGUGCCUAAGGAUAAGCCGAAGGGCGAUUCCGAUGGAAGACUGGUUAAUAUUCCAGUACUCUUAUAUGUUGCGAUGGAAGGACGAAAUAGUGAAAGGACUGCGUGCUGACGGAAUAGCACGUUAAAGGGUGUAGAUCCAGUGUGUGGUUAAUAGCUACACUCCUCGAACCUGAUAGUACCGCGAAUCUUCGGAGGAGCGGAUAAUGUCCGUAAACAGAUUUCCGAGAAAAUUUUCUAAGCUUCAGACAUAUAAGAACCGUACCGCAAACCGACACAGGUAGUCAAGGAGAGAAUCCUGAGGCGCUCGAGUGAUUCAUGGCUAAGGAACUAGGCAAAUUAGUCCUGUAACUUAGGGAGAAAGGACCCCACGAGAGUGGGCGCAGAGAAAUGAUUCAGGCGACUGUUUAACAAAAACACAGGGCUCUGCUAAAUCGCAAGAUGAAGUAUAGGGCCUGACACCUGCCCGGUGCUGGAAGGUUAAGAGGGGAUGUCAUCCGAAAGGUGCAGCAUUGAAUCGAAGCCCCAGUAAACGGCGGCCGUAACUAUAACGGUCCUAAGGUAGCGAAAUUCCUUGUCGGGUAAGUUCCGACCUGCACGAAUGGUGUAACGAUCUGAAUACUGUCUCAGCCAUGAGCUCGGUGAAAUUGUAGCAGCGGUGAAGAUGCCGCUUACCCGCAACGGGACGGAAAGACCCCGUGAACCUUUACUGCAACUUAACAUUGAUUUUGGGUACGCGAUGUGUAGGAUAGGUGGGAGACUGUGAAGUGGGUGCGCCAGCAUUCAUGGAGUCAACGUUGAAAUACCACCCUUCGCUUGCCUGGAGUCUAAUCCUGAGAAGGAGACCGUGUUUGGUGGGUAGUUUGACUGGGGUGGUCGCCUCCAAAAGAGUAACGGAGGCUUCCCAAGGUACCCUCAGUACGAAUGGUAACCGUACGUAGAGUGCAUUGGCACAAGGGUGCUUGACUGUGAGACCGACAAGUCGAUCAGGUAGGAAACUAGGGCAAAGUGAUCCGGUGGUUCCGCAUGGAAGGGCCAUCGCUCAAAGGAUAAAAGGUACUCCGGGGAUAACAGGCUGAUCGCCGCCAAGAGCUCAUAUCGACGCGGCGGUUUGGCACCUCGAUGUCGGCUCGUCACAUCCUGGGGCUGGAGAAGGUCCCAAGGGUUCGGCUGUUCGCCGAUUAAAGUGGCACGCGAGCUGGGUUCAGAACGUCGUGAGACAGUUCGGUCCCUAUCUGUUGUGGGCGUAGGAUAUUUGAGGAGGGCUGACCUUAGUACGAGAGGACCGGGUUGGACGAACCUCUAGUGUACCAGUUGUACCGCCAGGUGCACCGCUGGGUAGCUAAGUUCGGUUGAGAUAAGCGCUGAAAGCAUCUAAGCGCGAAGCUUGCUUCAAGAUGAGAUAUCCCUUAAGGACCGUAGUAGACCACUACGUUGAUAGGUUGCAGGUGUAAAGGCAGUAAUGUCAAAGCCGAGCAAUACUAAUAGUCCGUGACUUUCAGGU